rnacentral:rRNA from 1 species
GUAGUCUGCAACCCGACUACAUGAAGCUGGAAUCGCUAGUAAUCGCGAAUCAGAAUGUCGCGGUGAAUACGUUCCCGGGUCUUGUACACACCGCCCGUCACACCAUGGGAGUCGGAAAUACCCGAAGCCUGUGAGCUAACUUUGCGGAGGCAGCAGUCGAAGGUAGAGCCAAUGAUUGGGGUGAAGUCGUAACAAGGUAUC